CCGGGUACAGGCUCUGGCGUGGUCAUCGUUGCAGAGGUCACCGUCGACGUCACAGGCGGAUGCUAGAGCGGCGCGUGCGGAUGAGGCUCGUGAUGGUGAGCUGGUCCGCCUCCGCCUCGCUCCCGCUUCAGGCGUUGUUUAAGAUGCGGUGGCUAACAACGCUCUAUGGAGUGAUACCGGGGAAGGCUACCCGUGAAUGAAGACUUCAUUCACCCCUGCGUAUCGACCCGAACAUAUGACACGAGCCGAACUUUCACUAGGGCGUAUGAAAUAUCGAGCUCUGCGAAAGUGAGGUAGAGGAACUUACUGAUGCUCAUCAGUUUGCUGGACCUAUCUCAUUAAGGAAACUAGUAGAUCCGACUUAAUGACUUUAUCUAAUGGCAGCUUAUCGCAACGUGCGUAGUGAAAUUUGAGAGGAAGAAAAAAGGUCCAAUUUUUGUGCCAUGAAUACGUGCACCAGUGCCAUAAGAUCACUGUGAUUAGUGUAAGCAUUUUAGGAAAUAAUUAUUCUUGUAGUUAUUUUUGUUGAUCAUAGUUUGUUUGUUCCUGCAAUAAAUUGACCAUAAUUCAGUUUUAGUUUUAAACAUCUUAAAUUUGGAUUUUGAUUUUUUCAAAGCAAUAAAAUUGUAAUUAUUAAAUAUAUAAUAAUUUUAGAAUAAAAUAAACAAAUCAAACAGGGAAUAUCCCUGACAGUUUGUUUCAUCGUUAACUUCCGGCCACAGAUAAAGCAGAUUGCAAGCCGACAUGAAUAUUUUAUGCUGUUUGUGAUUUCCAGAAGCUGUUUUGCUACCCGUAGAUAUAAACGAUAGUCAUGUACCUACAUGUGUGAGUCAGUUCGUGAACAAAGAUUUUAAGCAUUCCACUUAUUCACGUUUAAGCGUACAUGUUCGAGAUACAGAAGCGAGAUUGGUCGAGCGUAUAAGGCUGAUAUCGUUAAUCGCGACACUAAUUACAUGCACUAAAAACAUUGUUUUAUAGUCGAAGUCAAUCGUUCGGAUCGAAGUGAACUGAGUCAACUGUAAUCGAUAUAGUGUAAUUGCAGAGCAUGUAUCGAGUGAGACAAUGACGUCGCAGCCCGAGUAGAGAUCGUAUCGUGGUCGAAUACGCAGUUACACGCAUUUAAGUAAUUAUGGGAAUGGGCAUUGUUAACCGGACGACGCAAAUUGGGCAUUUGCAAUAAUUUAUUGUCUUUAAAAUAAGCUUGCAUUGUCGUUGUGACUGUUUAAAUCGUUAUCGAAUGGGAUUGCCCGACAAUGAUGGUCCCUAAUGAUGGCUAUUGUUUUAGUCAUAGGCUGCAGGUGUUAUUGUGUGUUACUGUGUAGGAUUCAAAAAAUCACAUUUAGAGUACAUUUGUUGAAGAAUUACUCAAUACCAGAAUCGUCCCAAAAAUAGUUUUUUUAAAAUAAUAGUAUUUUAAGACUAAAUAUCUGCUUUUCAUCGAAAAUAUACGAUUUAUGUAUAAACGAA